GAUGAACGCUGGCGGCGUGCCUAAUACAUGCAAGUCGAGCGAACGGACGAGAAGCUUGCUUCUCUGAUGUUAGCGGCGGACGGGUGAGUAACACGUGGAUAACCUACCUAUAAGACUGGGAUAACUUCGGGAAACCGGAGCUAAUACCGGAUGAUAUUUUGAACCGCAUGGUUCAAAAGUGAAAGACGGUCUUGCUGUCACUUAUAGAUGGAUCCGCGCUGCAUUAGCUAGUUGGUAAGGUAACGGCUUACCAAGGCAACGAUGCAUAGCCGACCUGAGAGGGUGAUCGGCCACACUGGAACUGAGACACGGUCCAGACUCCUACGGGAGGCAGCAGUAGGGAAUCUUCCGCAAUGGGCGAAAGCCUGACGGAGCAACGCCGCGUGAGUGAUGAAGGUCUUCGGAUCGUAAAACUCUGUUAUUAGGGAAGAACAUAUGUGUAAGUAACUGUGCACAUCCUGACGGUACCUAAUCAGAAAGCCACGGCUAACUACGUG
rnacentral:rRNA from 1 species